UCCUCCUUCCCUUCCUGUCCUCUCCUUCCUCUCUCUCUGUCCUCUCCUUCCUGUCUCUCUCUCUGUCCUCUCCUUCCUGUCUCUCUCUCUGUCCUCUCCUUCCUGUCUCUCUCUCUGUCCUCUCCUUCCUGUCUCUCUCUCUGUCCCCUCCUUCCUGUCUCUCUCUCUGUCCUCUCCUUCCUGUCUCUCUCUCUGUCCCCUCCUUCCUGUCUCUCUCUCUGUCCCCUCCUUCCUGUCUCUCUCUCUGUCCCCUCCUUCCUGUCUCUCUCUCUGUCCCCUCCUUCCUGUCUCUCUCUGUCCCCUCCUUCCUGUCUCUCUAUCAUCAGUGUGUUUAUUUUAUAUAGUUUUAAACUUGGCUAUUAUGUACUUAAGCCAUAUAUAUAUACUGUAUGUUUGGCUGUCUGAUAAACACACACACAGUUCUUUCUCACACUUGUUUGAGGAGGGAAGGGAGGAAGGAGAAAGGGAAGGAGAGAAGGAAUUUGGGCACUCUUCAGAGAAAGCGGUGUACAAGCAGGGGAUAACUGAUGAAGAGACAAACAUCACUUGUUAUUUUCCUUUCGUUAUCUUUUUAGCAGUCAAAACAUUGAGAACUUUGAAAUUAAAAUUUGUAUUGAAAUUUAAGUCUUGGUUAAUUACUUGGGGGCUUCAGUUAGUUAUGUUACAGCAUCUUCUACACAUUUGGUCUGAGAAGUGCCAUUAGAGAUACCAGCUGAUCUGUGAUCGAUCUUGCUCUCCCCUGGCCUUCCCAGGGAGAUGGAUUCCAUCUGAUCUGUGAUCGCUUGCUCUAUAAAAUGUGAUUCUCUUUUACAAUGUAACAGUAUAACUUUAGACCGUCCCCUCGCCCAUACCCGGGUCCCUCUGCACACAUCAACAACAGUCACCCCUCGAAGCAUCGUUACCCAUCGCUCCACAAAAACCGCAGCCCUUGCAGAGCAAAGGGAACUACUACUUCAAGGUCUCAGAGCAAGUGACGUCACCAAUUGAAACGCUAUUUAGCGCGAACACCGCUAACUAAGCUAGCCGUUUCACAUCCGUUACACCAGAACCACCGCUAACUAAGCUAGCCGUUUCACAUCCGUUACACCAGAACCACCGCUAACUAAGCUAGCCGUUUCACAUCCGUU
ensembl:lncRNA